rnacentral:rRNA from 1 species
AAGUCGAACGAAGCACCUUACCGGAUUCUUCGGAUGAAAGUUUGGUGACUGAGUGGCGGACGGGUGAGUAACGCGUGGGUAACCUGCCCUGUACAGGGGGAUAACAGCUGGAAACGGCUGCUAAUACCGCAUAAGCGCACGAGGAGACAUCUCCUAGUGUGAAAAACUCCGGUGGUACAGGAUGGGCCCGCGUCUGAUUAGCUGGUUGGCAGGGUAACGGCCUACCAAGGCAACGAUCAGUAGCCGGUCUGAGAGGAUGAACGGCCACAUUGGAACUGAGACACGGUCCAAACUCCUACGGGAGGCAGCAGUGGGGAAUAUUGCACAAUGGGGGAAACCCUGAUGCAGCAACGCCGCGUGAGUGAAGAAGUAUUUCGGUAUGUAAAGCUCUAUCAGCAGGGAAGAUAAUGACGGUACCUGACUAAGAAGCUCCGGCUAAAUACGUGCCAGCAGCCGCGGUAAUACGUAUGGAGCAAGCGUUAUCCGGAUUUACUGGGUGUAAAGGGUGCGUAGGUGGCAGUGCAAGUCAGAUGUGAAAGGCCGGGGCUCAACCCCGGAGCUGCAUUUGAAACUGCUCGGCUAGAGUACAGGAGAGGCAGGCGGAAUUCCUAGUGUAGCGGUGAAAUGCGUAGAUAUUAGGAGGAACACCAGUGGCGAAGGCGGCCUGCUGGACUGUUA